rnacentral:rRNA from 1 species
GUACUGGCAUUGUUGGUUUCUCCCUUCUGACGAACCAUGAUGUCAUUUAUUUGGUGUUGUGGGGAAUCAGGACUGUUACUUUGAAAAAAUUAUAGUGUUUAAAGCAGGCUCACGCUUGAAUACAUUAGCAUGGAAUAAUGAAAUAGGACGUUUGAUUCUAUUUUGUUGGUUUCUAGGAUCGACGUAAUGAUUAAUAGGGAUAGUUGGGGGCAUUAGUAUUCAAUUGUCAGAGGUGAAAUUCUUGGAUUUAUUGAAGACUAACUACUGCGAAAGCAUUUGCCAAGGAUGUUUUCAUUAAUCAAGAACGAAAGUUAGGGGAUCGAAGAUGAUCAGAUACCGUCGUAGUCUUAACCAUAAACUAUGCCGACUAGGGAUCGGAUGAUGUUAAUUUUUUAAUGACUCAUUCGGCGCCUUACG